CGAGAAUCCCCCCAACGGAGCCCAGUGUCAGGCCGACGGCCCCUGGAGGAAGGGGUGAGAUGAGGAAGAGGACAGUUAAUCCCACCUUCAGGGGCGUUGUGAAGAGUCCAUGGACGACGUAUGCAAAGAAUACCAAAAUCCAGCCAGCCUUCGCUCAGGCGGCUGCCGCGGGAACUCACUGAAUCCGCGUCGCGGCUCCGUGAGGCGGGCGCGCUUCAACCCAUUUCACAGAUGACCGAAGCUCAGAGAUGGAGGGUCCGGUGACGUCACAUGUGUACCAUGGAUUAGCUUUGCACCCGGCACAGAGUACCUUCCAGAACUGGGGCUGCGACUUCCUGCUCUGUGACCUCAGAUGAGGAACUUGACCUUCCUGGGCCUCUGUCACGAACUGUUAUGGGGAUGUGACGCUCCGGGUGCGGCGUCCGCUUGGGUGAAGAAUUCAGUGCGUGGAAGCUCCCGCCCGCUGCCCGAUGUCAUGGACACAGCUGAGCGUUAGUCCGCAGAGGGCCCUGAAGGAUGCGUGCGCCUGGGAGGGGCCUCGGGGUGUCUUGUGGGGUCUGAGGGUGGAGAACCGGAGGUGCCAAUGUCUUCACCGCCUCCUCAGUGUCUCUUGGAGCCAGAAACCUGGCUAAGAAACAACGGCAGGGCGCAGAGCCAGCAUGACACGAACGGGCUUUCACCUUGUUCUCCCUGCAGAACGGUUCCGGAAACCACAGCCAGUCUCUGCUCAGCUGGGGGCCGAAGGGAAAGGGAUCAGGCCAGGCCAGAGGGCCCGCGUUGACCGCAGUGGCCUCCGGAGGCCAGCCCGGGGGCGGCAGCGACGGAGAGCAGCCGAGGGAGACCCCAGGGGAGCUGGGGCUGAGCUGGAGGGGCUCCGAGCACUGUGCCACGGGCCUCGCUGUUCCCCUCGCCUCUCGGUCACACACGUGCACACCCUCACACUCACACACACACACACACACACACACACACACACACACACACACACACACGCUUUGACACCCUCGUGGCUGAAGAAUGCUGUGUGAUUCCCGAUUCCCG
rnacentral:lncRNA from 1 species